UGGGGAAUAUUGGGCAAUGGGCGAAAGCCUGACCCAGCAACGCCGCGUGAGGGAAGAAGGCUUUCGGGUUGUAAACCUCUGUCGCAGGGGACGAAAGAAAUGACGGUACCCUGUGAGGAAGCCCCGGCUAACUACGUGCCAGCAGCCGCGGUAAUACGUAGGGGGCGAGCGUUGUCCGGAAUUACUGGGCGUAAAGGGUGCGUAGGCGGCGAAUUAAGUUGGAUGUGAAAUCCCCGGGCUUAACCUGGGUGGUGCAUCCAAAACUGAUUAGCUAGAGUGCAGGAGAGGGAAGCGGAAUUCCUAGUGUAGCGGUGAAAUGCGUAGAUAUUAGGAGGAACACCAGUGGCGAAGGCAGUUACCUAUGCCGAGACUGACGCUGAGGCGCGAAAGUAUGGGGAUC
rnacentral:rRNA from 1 species